rnacentral:tRNA from 1 species
GGAUGUAGCUCAGCUGGGAGAGCAAUAGCUUUGCAAGCUGUGUGUCGCUGUUUCAAAGAGCUAUGUCCA